AGAGUUUGAUCAUGGCUCAGGAUGAACGCUGGCGGCGUGCUUAACACAUGCAAGUCGAACGAACUGAGAGGAGCUUGCUCCUUGAGGUUAGUGGCGGACGGGUGAGUAACGCGUGGGUAACCUGCCCUAUGCAGGGGGAUAACGUUUGGAAACGAACGCUAAUACCGCAUAAACUAUGGGUAGUCGCAUGACUACUAUAGCAAAGAUUUAUCGGCAUAGGAUGGACCCGCGUUGGAUUAGCUAGUUGGUGAGAUAACAGCCCACCAAGGCGACGAUCCAUAGCCGGCCUGAGAGGGUGAACGGCCACAUUGGGACUGAGACACGGCCCAAACUCCUACGGGAGGCAGCAGUGGGGAAUAUUGCACAAUGGGCGAAAGCCUGAUGCAGCAACGCCGCGUGAAGGAAGAAGGUCUUCGGAUUGUAAACUUCUAUCAGUAGGGAAGAAUAAAUGACGGUACCUAACUAAGAAGCUCCGGCUAACUACGUGCCAGCCGCCGCGGUAAUAC
rnacentral:rRNA from 1 species